rnacentral:rRNA from 1 species
UGGGGAAUAUUGCACAAUGGGGGAAACCCUGAUGCAGCGACGCUGCGUGAACGAAGAAGGUAUUCGUAUCGUAAAGUUCUGUCCUAUGGGAAGAUAAUGACAGUACCAUAGAAGAAAGCUCCGGCUAAAUACGUGCCAGCAGCCGUGGUAAUACGUAUGGAGCGAGCGUUGUCCGGAAUUAUUGGGCGUAAAGGGUACGCAGGCGGUUUAAUAAGUCGAAUGUUAAAGAUCGGGGCUCAACCCCGCAAAGCAUUGGAAACUGAUAAACUUGAGUAGUGGAGAGGAAAGUGGAAUUCCUAGUGUAGUGGUGAAAUACGUAGAUAUUAGGAGGAAUACCAGUAGCGAAGGCGACUUUCUGGACACAAACUGACGCUGAGGUACGAAAGCGUGGGGAGCAAACAGG